rnacentral:tRNA from 1 species
GUAGAGCGUUGUGCUAAUAACGCAAAGGUCACAGGUUCGAUCCCUGUACGGAGCA